GACGAACGCUGGCGGCGUGCUUAACACAUGCAAGUCGAACGGAAAGGCCCUGCUUGCAGGGUACUCGAGUGGCGAACGGGUGAGUAACACGUGGGUGAUCUGCCCUGCACUUCGGGAUAAGCCUGGGAAACUGGGUCUAAUACCGGAUAGGAGCCAUUUUUAGUGUGAUGGUUGGAAAGUUUUUUCGGUGUAGGAUGAGCUCGCGGCCUAUCAGCUUGUUGGUGGGGUAAUGGCCUACCAAGGCGGCGACGGGUAGCCGGCCUGAGAGGGUGGACGGCCACAUUGGGACUGAGAUACGGCCCAGACUCCUACGGGAGGCAGCAGUGGGGAAUAUUGCACAAUGGGCGCAAGCCUGAUGCAGCGACGCCGCGUGGGGGAUGACGGCCUCGGGUUGUAAACUCCUUUCGCUAGGGACGAAGCUUUUUGUGACGGUACCUAG
rnacentral:rRNA from 1 species